rnacentral:rRNA from 1 species
UACAGAGGUCCCAAGCGUUGUUCGGAUUCACUGGGCGUAAAGGGUGCGUAGGCGGUCGGGUAAGUCAGCGGUGAAAUCCGUCGAGUCUAACUCGGAAACUGCCAUUGAUACUAUAGAUCUUGAAUUAUCUGGAGGUGAGCGGAAUAUGUCAUGUAGCGGUGAAAUGCUUAGAUAUGACAUAGAACACCAAUUGCGAAGGCAGCUCACUACGGAUCUAUUGACACUGAGGCACGAAAGCGUGGGGAUCAAACAGG